GGGGCACCCGGAGCGCGGCGCUCCGCACCUUGACCGGCGGCACCGGGCGGGCCGGGCCGGGGCGGCUCCGGUACCGGGGGCGGGCGCCGCUCUUUGACCCUCGGGUUGGUCGGGGAGCCCGGUUUUGUCGGGAAAGCCGGAUCCGCGCCGGGAUGCGGACAAAGACACGGAGCAGCUGUUCGGGAAUAAAGCUGAAAUAGUAGAACCUGGGAGAGAAGUUAGCUUGGGGGAGCUAUUAUUUUCGCCGCAAAACCCUCGGGAGGUAUUAAACAGCUGCAUCCAAACGACGGAGCGACCCAAAGGCCGGGAUCCCACCGCCUCGCCGUCGAGCAGCGGGCGCGUGGCUCAGCGCACGGCCGCAGGUUCCUCUGCAAAGAGCAGCGUAGCAGAGCGGUUGGGAGAGCUGUGCUGGACAGAGGACGGCCGGCCGCGAGCGGAGCCUCCCACCGGCGAGCAUUGCCAGGCGAGGAGAGAAAACCUGGGCAGCCUUAAAACACUCAGAGUGUAAUGUGACGCUUCCAAACCUUUGCAGCCUGCGCACACACGCAGUCUUCCUCAGGGGUCCCCAAAAGGAGUUGUGCCACUCCCUGAGCAUCCCCCAGCCCAGCAUGGUGUUGGGAUGCAGGCAGAAGCCUCGGUGGGUGCAGGGCUGUGCCAGGAGCAGCCACCGUUUCUACUGCAGAUGUGAACAGGGGGUGCCCAGCUGGGUGGAAGGGCGAAAGUCUGCUCGAGGAGCCUGAAGACGCACCAUCCCCACUUAUCGCCCCAGAGGCAGGCUAUCUAGCUGACAAGCUGUGCGGUGAAAAACCAGGUGCCCAUGUGCCUGCUGCUCACCCAAGGCCUGAAAGGGAUCAGCUGCUCAUUUUGCAGAGCAAAGUAAGAUGGCAACAAGGUUUGUUUUUUUAUGUAACUUAUGUAUUGAUUGUUUUUUUCCUGUAAAACCUUCUGUAUUUUCUACUGCUGUCAAUAGAUGUGCACACAUUUCCCCAUCUUUUUUUUUUUUUCUUUUUUUUUGUCAUUCGAAGCAACAUUCAAUUAAAAUAUUUUGAGUGAAAUCUGCAGAGUUUUGGUGAGAAUGUGAAGUUUAACAAGGUGAUCGGCCUUAUUUCUGUGGUCAGGGGAUUUUUUAGCCCUAGGGUAUUUGUCUCGGUUGCGUCAAUUUUUACAACAUCUGAUUGUAGCAGAACCAGAGCCCCUAAAUCUGAAGCCCCCUCUCAGUGAACCUCUUAUUUCCUUGGGUUCAUUUGUUUCUUUAAGCAGACGAUCACUUUGUGUGUACUUCUGUCCCAGAAAAGAGUUUAUAGUUGAGAGCUGCUAAUUAUAUAUUGCUGCUGUGGAGAUGGGGAUGGGAAACUUUCCAAAUAUUUAUCCUUUUAAAGGUGAGGUAACUUAAAGGCAUGCGUGCAGUUUCCUUUAAACAAGCCAUUCCUUUACAAUUUCCAUAUCAAAGUACUACCGAACCCAAUAUAAGCGUUCACUGAACCUGAGCAGCACUGGAAUAAUAACUUUUUUAAAUCAGAGCUUUCUUGCUGAAGAAAUGUCAAAAAAAAAAAAAAAAGAAAAGAAAAGAAAAAAGAAAGAAAGAAAGAAAGAAAAUAUUCCUGAAAGGAGUUCUGCCUUUUCAUCACCAGGGUGGGAUUUUUUGGUCCAAAAUAUUUAUUAAUCAGGAUAAAACAUGAGUUCACAAAUCCCUGCAGAGCUGUGGCUCAAUUCGGAGUGUAUCUGUGUCCUCAGAAGGCGAAACGUGAGAUUAAGGGCUGCAGGCUCUGCAAAAACACCGUUUGAAAAGACUGAAACUUCCAAAGCAGGGCUUGGAGGUAGUGAGCAACAGUCAUGCAAAGCAGUGUGGUGGGCUGGUAAAAUGUUCAGAGGAAAAGUAAGAUUUGUAGCCAAAAUAUUUUUUCUACAUUGGUUUAUGUCACCUUUCCUGCAGAUUUAGUAACCCCUGAAGAAUGUAAAACAAUGGGCUGCAUGAUAGCAUAAACACAAAACGAAUUUAAAACCUCUUAAUGUAUGCCAUGCAUUGGAAAUUUUAUAUAUAGAAUUUUACAACAUCUAUAAAAUUAAAUUUUCAAACAAGAACACUGCCCAUCAGUUUGCAUGAAUUGUUACAUCUUCACUGAGGCAAUACUGACUUAGAGCAUCCCUACGUUCAUCACAUGUGGACUUGUUGGCCAUUGUUGAAUACGUCCAAGUGGACUCUGAAGAUUUUCUCCAUCAUGGAUUAUUGCUGGCCCUUCCUACCCACAGACCAGUUUUUCUGUAUACUUGAACUAACUGUAGGCUGAGAACCACAGGGCACGAUGCCGUGCAAAGUGGGAACACCUUCCGUGUCUUCACACUUAUUCUGAUUCAAAGCAUCUCUCAAGUAUAUGUGAACACUAUUUAACACUAACACUACAUAUGUGAACAGCUAUUUAAACUAGCUUUAAGUAUUUUAACUCCUGCCACAAUGUGGGGUUGGAAUGCCCGAUUUACAUCGAGGUUGGGGUUUCACUACUAACAUUAAACUCAUCCCAGAGUAGAAAACCUAAAACUUCAUUUGACUACAUUUAAAUCCUGAGAACAGGAAAAUGUUUCUGAUCCACACUUUCAGGUAAAACUGAAUUGAAAGCUUUGGAUUCCACUCUGUGGUAUCUGUUGAUUUUGUGAGUGGGUAGAACAGCCAGAUUUGUCCAAAAGUUUGUUUAUAAAAAGGUAUGCAAUAAGGCCUCAUAAAAGGACCUCAGGUGCUGGGAAUGCACAAACAGAUUGCAAAGCCGAGCUAAUUUUCAGAAUGUUGCAAUCACCUUAUUUUUAAUUUCAUUUUUUCUCCAAAUUUAAAAAUAUUUCGCCCCUCCCUAAUAUCAUCUUUUUACUGUUCAACAUGAAAGACUCAUAGAAGUAACAAAGGCAAUUGAUUAUCCAGGACAGCAGCAUCAUGAGAGCAACCAAGCAUUAUCCGGUGAUCAAAACAAACAAACCAGGACAGCAAUAGAGUGUAAUUGUGGGCUUUUCUUUUUUCUUUUCCUUUUUUCUUUUUUUCUUCUUUUUUUCUUUUUUUUUUUCCUCUUACUUUCUUCCUUUGUUUCUCAUUUAUUGUGUCCCUUCUUAGUUUUGUUUUUCUCUUUAGAUGCUCUCCGUAAUGACAGGUAAAUUAUUUCAGACAGAUAUGUUGGAGUUUUUUUAUCUGUCUUUUUAAAUUUUAGUGCUUCCUUUACACUUUGUUAGAUAUGCCCUCAGAAUUUAUCACAGUCAUGGUACAAAAGAGCUCCUGAGCACCUGGCUGUGUUGUUUCACUGAGCACCCAGUCCCCCGGUGCCAUGUUGAGUGCACAUGUCCUAGUGCUGAAGGUACUGUGCAUUGCGUCUUUCUGUAACGUGCAGGGUAAUGUUUGGGUUACUUCAUUAUUGCCUCAUUGAAACAAAUACUGAGGAAUAAAUUUUAUGAGGUCCUUUGUGAAGGUUCAGGGAGAAGUGCAUGUCUCAAAGAAGAUUUGUGCACGUUGUCUUCUGUGAAUUAGCAGAACGGGUAAACGAUGCAGUGAUGUGAUAGGAUAUGCUGCAGUAUGCUACAAGAUAUGAACUGCUUGGGAUCCCAUCUAUCGUGAUCUUUGUACACCUGGUCUCCUCAGCUCCCUCCAAGAGCUGAGCACCUUAGCCCUAUAUGGAAGUAAAAGAAACAUGUCCCGGCUCCUGCCCCUGUCUUUGCUCCCCUGUUUAUCUCACUUUGCUCUAAUGAGCUCAGAGAAUGGCAGAGAGGCACCAAAGGCACAAUCUAGCCUUUUAUCAAUACAACAGCAACAUAAGGUUUUUUGUAAGACAGCAGGGCCAGAUCCUUGCCCAGUGUGUUGACUUGGUAUUGAGGUGUUGUGCUUGACGUGGGGAGACAAGGGGUCCCGUUCAUGACGGCUGUUAAUGCGUUUUGUUUAAAAUGCUUUAUUUCCCCUUUCAUGCCAAAUAUGCCAAGCAAGGAGUGCUUUCCUGGUGCCAGAUUUCAUCUGAAAUUGGUCCUAUGCUGAACAAGUUGGGGCCACUGAGAAGCAGAAAGUGGAUGAAGCAAGAUCCUAAAAGGGAAAGACCAAUGUUUUAUUUACUACAAUAAACCCUAAACCCAGGUUUAUCACUAACUAGUCGUAUUUUCUGUUUGUGUUUGUCUUUGUGGUUUGACAUUUGCUCAUGCUGUGAUAGCUUCAUCAAAAUACAUUUUUUAGAAAAAGCA